rnacentral:rRNA from 1 species
UACGUAGGGCGCAAGCGUUGUCCGGAAUUAUUGGGCGUAAAGAGCUCGUAGGUGGUGUGUCGCGUCUGCCGUGAAAGCCCGGGGCUUAACUCCGGGUCUGCGGUGGAUACGGGCAGACUAGAGGCAGGUAGGGGAGAACGGAAUUCCCGGUGUAGCGGUGAAAUGCGCAGAUAUCGGGAAGAACACCUAUGGCGAAGGCAGCUCUCUGGGACGGUACUGACGCUGAGACGCGAAAGCGUGGGGAGCGAACAGG